GCGAUGAUGCAUAAGCCGCGUGAAGGAGAAGGCCUUCGGGUCGUAAGCUCUUUCUGGGGGACGAGGAUGGAGUGACUGAGGAGAAGGGUCGGCUAACUCCUUGCCAGCAGCCGCGGAAAUCCAG
rnacentral:rRNA from 1 species